rnacentral:rRNA from 1 species
UACGGGGGGGCAAGCGUUGUUCGGAAUUACUGGGCGUAAAGGGUUCGUAGGUGGCCAACUAAGUCAGACGUGAAAUCCCUCAGCUUAACUGGGGAACUGCGUCUGAGACUGGAUGGCUUGAGUGCAGGAGAGGAACGCGGAAUUCCAGGUGUAGCGGUGAAAUGCGUAGAUAUCUGGAAGAACACCCGUGGCGAAGGCGGCUCUCUGGUACGUGACUGACGCUGAGACGCGAAAGCGUGGGGAGCAAACAGG